AACCAAAUUCUUUUAGUUUUUUUUGGUUUUUGCUCUUUGGUUAUACUGGCACCACUACGGUUGCUCUAAAGUCACCAUUUGCUCGAACGUUCUUCAUUUUCAUUUUUUGAAAGAAAAAAACAGACCAGAGAAGAGAAGAGAAAGAUGGGGAGAAAGAAGAAGAGAAGAUCAGGUAAGUGAUUAAAUACUCGAAAAAAUGGUGAAGAAAUAGUUGCAGACGAGGAAAGUUGAAGAAGAAGACGAUUGGGGUUGAUUCGAUCGUCGAAACAAUUGCUGCAAAUGUGAGGGCUGCAAAAAGAAUUACCAUUUCAACUGUCUUGAUCUGCUCCUUACGGAUGUGCUAUUUGGUGACUGGAAAUGUGUUGUGUUAGUCUGGCAGAGUGGAUUCAGUUUUAGAUGCAAAAGAAAUGGUUGGCAGAUUCUGAGUUUUCUGACUGCGGGUUUGGGGUUCUGCUUAUCACCAUUGAUAGGCGUCAUGAGAAGGAAGUCGCACUGCCAAAUAUUUGCCCAAUUUUAUUGUGAAAGAAGUCUAAAAGGGAAGCUGAAGCUGAAUCAUCCAAAAAGCCUAAUCACUAGUCAAAGGAACCAAGUCGCCCAGAAAGGCUUAAACCUCUAUUGCAGCAAAACAAUGAACACAAGUGAUCGAAAAGAUGAAACAAAUACUCUUUUUUCUGUCUGCAAACUGUUGUGGUUACACACAGUGCUUCCAUGUAAUUUUAGUUUAUUUACUGGUGGGUGACAUGUUUAUCUUAAUCCUAUUCUUAUCUGGUUGUCUUUUUUUUUUUGAAGGAAUGAGGGGCUUUGGAAAUCCCCUAAGAAUUAUUUAUUAGACUGCCUCAUUCAAAUUGAGGUUUGGAGGA